rnacentral:rRNA from 1 species
AGUGGACGUUACUCGCAGAAUAAGCACCGGCUAACUCUGUGCCAGCAGCCGCGGUAAUACAGAGGGUGCAAGCGUUAAUCGGAUUUACUGGGCGUAAAGCGCGCGUAGGCGGCUAAUUAAGUCAAAUGUGAAAUCCCCGAGCUUAACUUGGGAAUUGCAUUCGAUACUGGUUAGCUAGAGUGUGGGAGAGGAUGGUAGAAUUCCAGGUGUAGCGGUGAAAUGCGUAGAGAUCUGGAGGAAUACCGAUGGCGAAGGCAGCCAUCUGGCCUAACACUGACGCUGAGGUGCGAAAGCAUGGGGAGCAAACAGGAUUAGAUACCCUGGUAGUCCAUGCCGUAAACGAUGUCUACUAGCCGUUGGGGCCUUUGAGGCUUUAGUGGCGCAGCUAACGCGAUAAGUAGACCGCCUGGGGAGUACGGUCGCAAGACUAAAACUCAAAUGAAUUGACGGGGGCCCGCACAAGCGGUGGAGCAUGUGGUUUAAUUCGAUGCAACGCGAAGAACCUUACCUGGCCUUGACAUAGUAAGAACUUUCCAGAGAUGGAUUGGUGCCUUCGGGAACUUACAUACAGGUGCUGCAUGGCUGUCGUCAGCUCGUGUCGUGAGAUGUUGGGUUAAGUCCCGCAACGAGCGCAACCCUUUUCCUUAUUUGCCAGCGAGUAAUGUCGGGAACUUUAAGGAUACUGCCAGUGACAAACUGGAGGAAGGCGGGGACGACGUCAAGUCAUCAUGGCCCUUACGGCCAGGGCUACACACGUGCUACAAUGGUCGGUACAAAGGGUUGCUACCUAGCGAUAGGAUGCUAAUCUCAAAAAGCCGAUCGUAGUCCGGAUUGGAGUCUGCAACUCGACUCCAUGAAGUCGGAAUCGCUAGUAAUCGCGGAUCAGAAUGCCGCGGUGAAUACGUUCCCGGGCCUUGUACACACCGCCCGUCACACCAUGGGAGUUUGUUGCACCAGAAGUAGCUAGCCUAACUGUAAAGAGGGCGGUUACCACGGUGUGGCCGAUGACUGGGGUGAAGUCGUAACAAG